GACGAACGCUGGCGGCGUGCCUAAUACAUGCAAGUAGAACGCAGUUGCGAACGGGUGAGUAACGCGUAGGUAACUGCCUCAUAGCGGGGGAUAACUCAGGGAAACGAGACCUAAUACCCCAUACUGUGAGCUGGACCUGCGUUGUAUUAGCUAGUUGGUGGGGUAAAGGCCCACCAAGGCGACGAUCCAUAGCCGGCCUGAGAGGGUGAUCGGCCACACUGGGACUGAGACACGGCCCAGACACCUACGGGAGGCAGCAGUAGGGAAUCUUCGGCAAUGGACGGAAGUCUGACCGAGCAACGCCGCGUGAGUGAAGAAGGUUUUCGGGUCGUAAAGCUCUGUUGUUAGAGAAGCGGUACCGAAACAGAAAGGGACGGCUAACUACGUGCCAGCAGCCGCGGUAAUUC
rnacentral:rRNA from 1 species